CGGGAAGUAGCUCAGCUUGGCAGAGCACAUGGUUAGGGACCAUGGGGUCGCAGGUUCAAAUCCUGUCUUCCCGACCA
rnacentral:tRNA from 13 species